rnacentral:rRNA from 1 species
UACGGAGGGUGCAAGCGUUGCUCGGAAUUAUUGGGCGUAAAGGGUAGGUAGGUGGUCUUAUUUGUCUGGGGUGAAAGCCUUGAGCUUAACUCAAGAAGUGCCUCAGAAACGGUAAGACUGGAGUCCUGGAGAGGGUCGUGGAAUUCCCGGUGUAGCGGUGAAAUGCGUAGAGAUCGGGAGGAAUACCGAUGGCGAAGGCAGGUCUCUGGGCUAUAACUGACGCUCAUGCACGAAAGCGUGGGGAGCAAACAGG